GGUCAAGUUAGAAAGGGCGUACGGUGAAUGCCCUGGCAUCAGGGGGCGAUGAAGGACGCGGCUGGCUGCGAAAAUUCACGGGGAACUGCGAGCGAGUUUAGAUCCGUGAGAUUCCGAAUGGGGCAACCCAUCCCGAGUAAAAUUGGGAUAUCAUGCACUGAAUAAAUAGGUGUAUGAGGUGAACCCGGGGAAGUGAAACAUCUCAGUACCCGGAGGAAAAGAAAUCUAUAGAGAUUCCCUCAGUAGCGGCGAGCGAAAGGGGAAGAGCCCAAACCGACCCUAACACAAAGAAUACAGCAUUCAGAAUACAGAAGUCAGAAUGGAGAAAAGCAACGGCAGUCAUUCUGGAUUCUGAAUACUGACUCCUGGAUUCUGUGUUUUGUGUGUUAGGGUCGGGGUUGUAGGACCGCAUAAGUAGGAACACUGUAAUAUAGCUGAAUGUUCUGGAAAGGACAUCCAAAGAGGGUGAUAGGCCUGUAAGCGAAAUGAUACAGAAACCGAAGCGGUAUCCUGAGUACCACAGGACACGUGGAAUCCUGUGGGAAGCUGGGGAGACCACUCUCCAAGGCUAAAUACCACCUGAUGACCGAUAGUGCACAAGUACCGUGAGGGAAAGGUGAAAAGAACCCCGGUGAGGGGAGUGAAAUAGAACCUGAAACCGUAUGCCUACAAGCAGUCAGAGCACCGCAAGGUGUGAUGGCGUGCCUUUUGAUUAAUGAGCCGGCGAGUUACUGGCUGCAGCAAGGUUAAGUCCUUAAGGGAUGGAGCCGCAGGGAAACCGAGUCUGAAUAGGGCGAAUUAGUUGCAGUCAGUAGACCCGAAGCCAGGUGAUCUACCCAUGGUCAGGGUGAAGGUGAAGUAAAAUUCACUGGAGGCCCGAACCGGUGUUUGUUGCAAAAAGCUCGGAUGAACUGUGGGUGGGGGUGAAAGGCCAAUCAAACCUGGUGAUAGCUGGUUCUCCCCGAAAUGCAUUUAGGUGCAGCCUCAGAGUAGUCUUGCGGGGGUAGGGCACUGGAUGGGCUAGGGCCUCGAAUGAGGUACCAAACCCAACCAAACCGCGAAUACCGUGUAGAUGUUCUCUGGGAGUGAGACUGCGGGUGCUAAGAUUCGUAGUCGAGAGGGAAACAGCCCAGACCGUCAGCUAAGGUCCCUAAGGGUGUGCUAAGUGGGAAAGGAUGUAGUGUUGCUUAAACAGCCAGGAUGUUGGCUUAGAAGCAGCCAUCAUUUAAAGAAAGCGUAAUAGCUCACUGGUCAAGCGACACUGCGCCGAAAAUUUAACGGGGCUAAGCACACUACCGAAGCUACGGAUUUAUCCCGACUUGUCGGGAUGAGUGGUAGGGGAGCAUUCUGCGGACCUGUGAAGGUGUGGCGUGAGCCAUGCUGGAGGGGGCAGAAGAGAUUAUGCCGGCAUAAGUAGCGCAAAUCCUGAUGAAAAGUCAGGACGCCGUAAACCUAAGGUUUCCUGGGGAAGGGAAAUCCGCCCAGGGUUAGUCGGUCCUAAGGCGAGGCCGAAAGGCGUAGCUGAUGGACAACUGGUUAAUAUUCCAGUACCGUCUUGUGUGCGUUUGACCGAAGGGGAGACGCAGUAGGAUAGUUUGAGCCUGGUGAUGGUUCAGGUCCAAGUGCUUAGGCUGAUAUGUAGGUAAAUCCGCAUAUCAUUAAGGCUGAGGUACGAUGGGGAAGUCCGUAAGGAUGAACUCAGGCGAUUCCACACUGACGAGAAAAACCUCGUAGGGAGUACACAGGAUGACCGUACCGCAAACCGACACUGGUAGGUGAGUAGAAGAUACUAAGGCGAUCGAGUUAACCCUCGCUAAGGAACUCGGCAAAAUAACCCCGUAACUUCGGGAGAAGGGGUCCCUCCGCAAGGAGGGCGCAGUGAAGA
rnacentral:rRNA from 1 species